rnacentral:tRNA from 1 species
GGGGGUAUAGCUCAGUGGUAGAGCUUUUGCCUAGCAUGUGCAAGGCCCUGAGUUCCACCCUUAGUACCUCAA